AGGCCACUACGGGCUCUCCAUAGCCCGUGCUACAUGUAACUUUUUGUUCCCAGUAGCUGAAUCUAAAACAACAGCCAGAGGGAGGUGGGGGUUGAGAGCAGUUACCAAGCAACGCACCACCAAUAUCUCGCAUAAGAGCAAACAUUAAUAUCCUCUUAAAUAAUUGUGCGAGAAAAUUGGGUUAAAUAAAGCAAGAACUUAAAUGCAAUCUAAUAGUAACUUUGUCGGCAGGUGGACAUGGAUCCCCCGAGUCUACCAGAUGGUCGAGGAGCAGCCAUAUUGUCGACCACAUGUUGAGGCCUGUCCACUCACUCUACCACCUAGACUGGUGGUUCAAGAAGCGGCCCACAGCAAUAUACAGUUGACAUUUACGAAGAAUUCGAGAAAUCAAACUACUUAAGGACCAAGAGCCAGACGUUGUGAUCAGGAGGUCAAGACGCCAGUGGCCUGAGGCUUCAAGGUAGGUCGGUGGAGAGAGUUGAACCUUUUAAGUUUAUAU